GCCCUCGUAGUUCAACGGAUAGAAUGCAAGCUUGCGGAGCUUGUGAUAGAGGUUCGAUUCCUCUCGAGGGCGCAA
rnacentral:tRNA from 1 species